rnacentral:rRNA from 1 species
UACAGAGGUCUCAAGCGUUGUUCGGAUUCAUUGGGCGUAAAGGGUGCGUAGGCGGCGCGGUAAGUCGGGUGUGAAAUCUCGGAGCUUAACUCCGAAACUGCAUUCGAUACUGCCGUGCUUGAGGACUGGAGAGGAGACUGGAAUUUACGGUGUAGCGGUGAAAUGCGUAGAUAUCGUAAGGAAGACCAGUGGCGAAGGCGGGUCUCUGGACAGUUCCUGACGCUGAGGCACGAAAGUCAGGGGAGCAAGACGG